rnacentral:rRNA from 1 species
CACCGCGGUUAUACGAGGGGCCCAAAUAGAUGUUCUGACGGCGUAAAGUGUGAUUAGAGAAAUUUAUAAACUAAAGCCGAAGAUUCCUUACGCUGUCAUACGCUAACAGGACGCACGAAGCCCAGCUACGAAAGUGGCUUUAAAAUACUUGAACUCACGACAGCCAGACCA